rnacentral:tRNA from 1 species
GGGUCUGUAGCUUAGUUGGUUAGAGCACACCCCUGAUAAGGGUGAGGUCGGUGGUUCAAAUCCACCUAGACCCACCA